UUGUUCAUGGCUCAGUCAGUAGAGCAUGAGACUCUUAAUCUCAGGGUCCUGAGUCUGAGUCCCACUUUGGGCAAA